AUUGAACGCUGGCGGCAGGCCUAACACAUGCAAGUCGAGCGGCAGCGGAAAGUAGCUUGCUACUUUGCCGGCGAGCGGCGGACGGGUGAGUAAUGUCUGGGAAACUGCCUGAUGGAGGGGGAUAACUACUGGAAACGGUAGCUAAUACCGCAUAACGUCGCAAGACCAAAGAGGGGGACCUUCGGGCCUCUUGCCAUCAGAUGUGCCCAGAUGGGAUUAGCUAGUAGGUGGGGUAACGGCUCACCUAGGCGACGAUCCCUAGCUGGUCUGGGAGGAUGACCAGCCACACUGGAACUGAGACACGGUCCAGACUCCGACGGGAGGCAGCAGUGGGGAAUAUUGCACAAUGGGCGCAAGCCUGAUGCAGCCAUGCCGCGUGUAUGAAGAAGGCCUUCGGGUUGUAAAGUACUUUCAGCGGGGAGGAAGGUGUUGAGGUUAAUAACCUCAGCAAUUGACGUUACCCGCAGAAGAAGCACCAGCUAACUCCGUGCCAGCCGCCGCUGUAA
rnacentral:rRNA from 1 species